CUUACCCAGAGGCCCUGGGGACAGGGUCUCGGGCUAUAGUUGGUCUCUGUUUCUUCCUGUCACAUCCACACCCCACCUGGUGGGCUCUGGGAUCCCAAAGCAGGGCCUCAAAGCCCCGCUGCUGAUGUGGCAGGGUUGUGCCAGGUCACAGAAAGUCACAUGCUGUGAUUCAGGCACAUGACGACAUCCCAUGCUUCCUGCCCCAAGACCUGGCUUCAUCAUGGACGGACCUAUGAGGAUGGUUCCAGCCUCUCCACUCAGGCAGGUUCAAGUGUGUUGGGUUUUUUCCCACAUGCUUACAGCAUUUAGGUCACAGGAUGGCUACCCCAGCUCUAGACACCCUGCUUCUGCAUUCAACAUGGGAAAACAGAGGGAAAGGUGACAUCAGUGAGCAUUCAACUUGUCUCUUACGUAAAGAAAAAAGAUUUUCCCAGAAGCCCCAAGUAGACUUCCUCUUCUUAUCAUCGGCCCAAGCCAGGUCACAUGGCCACAUGGCCAUUUCUCAAGGGAGACUGAGAAAGUCUGCGUUUGGAUUUCCAGCUUCCAUCAUGGAGGCAGCAAGAGAAAGAAGGGGGCUGGGAAUGGCUUGUGCAGGCAAACAACAGUGUCUGCCAGAAAAGCCUUCACAGAGAACCCACAAGACAUCAGACUGAAGAUUGCUCAAGCCAUUUUAGGCUGGGAAAUUUUUUAAAACUGAGAAAAAAGGCACAUUUCAGGCUGAAUCCAAACAUUGUGCGUUAGACCAGAGCUAGGUCUGUUUGAGGACAACCCGAGGCUGGAAAGCCCCUGGGCUGGAGGGAAAGCCUGUGUGUGCAGAUGCACAACUCGCAGCCCUGCCGCCAGCCAGAAAUCCAGCACGAGGAGCCCAGAUGACGGCCUGCGUUGUGGAGUAAGGCAGAAAUUGAAGAUAUUGUGUUAAUAAUGUGGCUUCCUCACUUGUUAGGGAUUAAAAGCUAGAAGAAGGGGCAACUGCCGCCUCGUGUUGGUCACAUAAGCCCAUCAACUAAGGACAUGAUUUUGUCAGGAAUAAGGAUGGGACUGAGGAGCCAAGUCCACUUUCCCAUCAAGAAUAUCUGUUUCCCUAACCAGCUGAAUUGUAGCCUUUACCCAAGUUAUGUAAACACUCGCUACCACCAUUAUCAUGGGUCUAAGUGUCUCAUUUACG
rnacentral:lncRNA from 1 species